rnacentral:misc_RNA from 1 species
GAUGAAGAACGCAGCGAAAUGCGAUAAGUAAUGUGAAUUGCAGAAUUCAGUGAAUCAACGAAUCUUUGAACGCACAUUGCGCCCGCCAGUAUUCUGGCGGGCAUGCCUGUUCGAGCGUCAUUACAACCCUCAGGCCCCCGGGCCUGGCGUUGGGGAUCGGCGGAGCCCCCCGUGGGCACACGCCGUCCCCCAAAUACAGUGGCGGUCCCGCCGCAGCUUCCAUCGCGUAGUAGCUAACACCUCGCGACUGGAGAGCGGCGCGGCCACGCCGUAAAACACCCAACUCUUCUGAAGUUGACCUCGAAUCAGGUAGGAAUACCCGCUGAACUUAAGCAUAUCAAUAAGCGGAGGA